rnacentral:rRNA from 1 species
CAAUGAUGUUUUGGUAGUUUCUUCUAUUGAGAGGGCUGAUUCUUUGAAUGAUCCUUUUGUGCCUAAUGACUUUGUGGAAGAUGGUUCUAAUGCUAUGUCUUUGGUAGUUAUUUUUGUCUUGUUCUCUACUUUCAUUUUCGUUUUUAUUCUUUCUUUCAGUUUAUUAAAAUUUCUGUUUGUUGACUGAAUUAUUUUUUAGGAUCUUUCUAGUGAUGAUAGGGGUUUUGAUAAAACUAUUUUCAAUUUCUAUGUGAAUCAUGUGAGUCUUUCUGAUCUAGUUACAACUAAUGACUUAUCUUUUUUAUUCACAAGAAUUACAAUGUAAUUUAGCCUAAAAUUACAGUGUAGUAUGCCCCUAGUAUUACAGUGUAAUGUAUCCAAAAAUUUCAUUGCAAUCCCCAUGCUUCCUUUAUGUAAUUGCAGUGUAAUAUACCCUAGAAUUGCAGUGUAAUUUAGCCCAGGUUUUAGUGUAGUCCCAAUGCUUCAUUUUUUUAAAUGACAGUGUAAUUUUCCCGGAAUUACAGUGUAAUUUUCCUAGAAUUACAGUGUAAACUCCAUGCUUCAUUUAUGUAAUUACAGUGUAAUUUUCCCCAUAAUUACAGUGUAAACUUCAUGCUUUAUUUAUGUAAUUGUAGUGUAAUUAUUCCCCGAAUUGCAGUGUAAAUUUUCCUAGAAAUUCAGUGUAAUUUUUCUUCUUCUAAACAAAGUAGUGUAAUUUUCCCGAUGAACCUCUGUAUUAUUUGAUAUUUGGGCUUCAUUCUUGUUCAGAUUUGCUUGAAUUACAGUGGAUUUUAACUCUGCUUUGUGUGAUUAUCCUUGUGUAGUCUCUUGGUUAUUAUCAUUGUAAUCCACUAGUGUGAUUAUUCAUUUCCUUCACUGUCCAUGUGUACCAGCACUGUAACAAACUCUACUUUUGAUUGUCAAUAUUAAUGCAUUCAUCUGAUAGGACUUGUGUUCUUUAUGCUGAUAGGUCUGUCUCUGUAUUCAUGACUUCAUAUGAACUUGCAUGUAUCUCUGUACUUAUUCUGUUCAGCUUUUGCUUGAUUUUCCGGUGGAUUUUAACUCUUUGAAUUACAGUGUAAUACCUCUUAAUUUCUCUGUAAUUUCCACUAUAUUUGUAGUGUAAUAUUCCCCAGGAUUACAUUGUAAUAUACAUACCCCAAAUUUAUAUUGUAAUAUCCCCCAGAAUCACAUUGUAAUUCUGAAUUGUAUUAAAUAAUGCUGGAAUACGGUGUAAUAUUCCCCCAGUUUGCAUUGUAUGUCAUGUAGGUAUUACACUGGAAUUCAUCUCAUUUUUCCAUGAAUGUCAUGAGUUGUCUAACUCUGUAAUUUCCCCUGAGUUCAUGUUAGCUACAUUGCCAUGUAUCGCAGCAAAGAUUUUUUCAUGUGUACUACAACACAACUUUUUUCAUGUAAUUUCCUCAUGGUUCAUGUUACCUACAUUGCCCUAUACUGCAGCAAAGUUUUUUUUUCAUGUGUACGUUACACUGGAAUUCAUGUUGGUGUAGUGUUUUGACAGUGGAAUAUUAACAGUUUUAACUUCCGACAGUUAGAAUUUUCCCCCUGACGAUUCCAAAAUUCUCACUAGAUUGUAUGAUGGUUUUUUUGCAGGCUAGUUCAUGUAGCAGGUGUAUGUAGAGCAGCAGGGUGAGGAAAAACAUGGAAGAGUUCAAUAGAAGUGUGAUCAAAAGGAGUAGGACAUUUCGUGAGCUGUGGACCGUCUCUUGGAUGAUCUUCCUUUUUCCACCACCAAUUAUUCAGAUCUGUUCUUCCCCCUUGCUUCUCUCCAG